rnacentral:rRNA from 1 species
UACGUAGGGGGCGAGCGUUGUCCGGAUUUAUUGGGCGUAAAACGCUUGUAGGCGGCCACCGCGCGUCGGACGUGAAAUCUCCCGGCUCAACUGGGAGGGGUCGUGCGAUACGGCGGGGCUCGAGGCCGGUAGGGGGACGCGGAAUUCCCGGUGUAGCGGUGAAAUGCGCAGAUAUCGGGAAGAACACCCGUGGCGAAGGCGGUUCUCUGGGACGGUACUGACGCUGAGACGCGAAAGCGUGGGGAGCGAACAGG